ACGGAUAGAAAUAACAGCCACACCAUACCACCCUUGACAGGCAUGAUGCUGUUUAGUUUUGGAAGCUAAACAGGGCUAGGUCUAGUGAGUACUUGGACAGGAGACCACCAGAAAGUAUUCAAGAUCUACCUGAA
rnacentral:rRNA from 1 species